UGCUACCAUGCAGUCGAACGAUGAUGCCCAGCUUGCUGGGUGGAUUAGUGGCGAACGGGUGAGUAACACGUGAGUAACCUGCCCCUGACUCUGGGAUAAGCGUUGGAAACGACGUCUAAUACUGGAUAUGAUCACUGGCCGCAUGGUCUGGUGGUGGAAAGAUUUUUUGGUUGGGGAUGGACUCGCGGCCUAUCAGCUUGUUGGUGAGGUAAUGGCUCACCAAGGCGACGACGGGUAGCCGGCCUGAGAGGGUGACCGGCCACACUGGGACUGAGACACGGCCCAGACUCCUACGGGAGGCAGCAGUGGGGAAUAUUGCACAAUGGGCGAAAGCCUGAUGCAGCAACGCCGCGUGAGGGAUGACGGCCUUCGGGUUGUAAACCUCUUUUAGUAGGGAAGAAGCGAAAGUGACGGUACCUGCAGAAAAAGCACCGGCUAACUACGUGCCAGCAGCCGCGGUAAUACGUAGGGUGCAAGCGUUGUCCGGAAUUAUUGGGCGUAAAGAGCUCGUAGGCGGUUUGUCGCGUCUGCUGUGAAAUCCCGAGGCUCAACCUCGGGCUUGCAGUGGGUACGGGCAGACUAGAGUGCGGUAGGGGAGAUUGGAAUUCCUGGUGUAGCGGUGGAAUGCGCAGAUAUCAGGAGGAACACCGAUGGCGAAGGCAGAUCUCUGGGCCGUAACUGACGCUGAGGAGCGAAAGCAUGGGGAGCGAACAGGAUUAGAUACCCUGGUAGUCCAUGCCGUAAACGUUGGGCGCUAGAUGUAGGGACCUUUCCACGGUUUCUGUGUCGUAGCUAACGCAUUAAGCGCCCCGCCUGGGGAGUACGGCCGCAAGGCUAAAACUCAAAGGAAUUGACGGGGGCCCGCACAAGCGGCGGAGCAUGCGGAUUAAUUCGAUGCAACGCGAAGAACCUUACCAAGGCUUGACAUACACCGGAAACGGCCAGAGAUGGUCGCCCCCUUGUGGUCGGUGUACAGGUGGUGCAUGGUUGUCGUCAGCUCGUGUCGUGAGAUGUUGGGUUAAGUCCCGCAACGAGCGCAACCCUCGUUCUAUGUUGCCAGCGGGUUAUGCCGGGGACUCAUAGGAGACUGCCGGGGUCAACUCGGAGGAAGGUGGGGAUGACGUCAAAUCAUCAUGCCCCUUAUGUCUUGGGCUUCACGCAUGCUACAAUGGCCGGUACAAAGGGCUGCGAUACCGUAAGGUGGAGCGAAUCCCAAAAAGCCGGUCUCAGUUCGGAUUGAGGUCUGCAACUCGACCUCAUGAAGUCGGAGUCGCUAGUAAUCGCAGAUCAGCAACGCUGCGGUGAAUACGUUCCCGGGCCUUGUACACACCGCCCGUCAAGUCAUGAAAGUCGGUAACACCCGAAGCCGGUGGCCUAACCCUUGUGGAAGGAGCCGUCGAAGUG
rnacentral:rRNA from 1 species